GACAAACGCUGGCGGCGUGCUUAACACAUGCAAGUCGAACGGUCUUCCUUCGGGAAGAUAGUGGCGGACGGGUGAGUAACACGUAGAUAACCUGCCCCUAUGUGGGGAGUAACCCCUCGAAAGAGGAGCUAAUACCGCAUGAGUUCUCUGUUGUUAGAUAGAGAAGAAACCUCGGUUUAUACCUGGGGCAUGAGGAGGGGUCUGCGGCGGAUUAGCUAGUUGGUGGAGGUAACGGCUCCCCAAGGCAACGAUCCGUAGCUGGUCUGAGAGGACGGCCAGCCACACUGGGACUGAGACACGGGCCCAGACUCCUACGGGAGCAGCAGUGAGGAUAUUCCACAAUGG
rnacentral:rRNA from 1 species